GAAGCGUCUGGAAAGGCGCGCGAUACAGGGUGACAGCCCCGUACACAAAAAUGCACAUAUUGUGAGCUCGAUGAGUAGGGCGGGACACGUGGUAUCCUGUCUGAAUAUGGGGGGACCAUCCUCCAAGGCUAAAUACUCCUGACUGACCGAUAGUGAACCAGUACCGUGAGGGAAAGGCGAAAAGAACCCCGGCGAGGGGAGUGAAAAAGAACCUGAAACCGUGUACGUACAAGCAGUGGGAGCCUCUUAAUGGGGUGACUGCGUACCUUUUGUAUAAUGGGUCAGCGACUUAUAUUCUGUAGCAAGGUUAACCGAAUAGGGGAGCCGAAGGGAAACCGAGUCUUAACUGGGCGUUAAGUUGCAGGGUAUAGACCCGAAACCCGGUGAUCUAGCCAUGGGCAGGUUGAAGGUUGGGUAACACUAACUGGAGGACCGAACCGACUAAUGUUGAAAAAUUAGCGGAUGACUUGUGGCUGGGGGUGAAAGGCCAAUCAAACCGGGAGAUAGCUGGUUCUCCCCGAAAGCUAUUUAGGUAGCGCCUCGUGAAUUCAUCUCCGGGGGUAGAGCACUGUUUCGGCAAGGGGGUCAUCCCGACUUACCAACCCGAUGCAAACUGCGAAUACCGGAGAAUGUUAUCACGGGAGACACACGGCGGGUGCUAACGUCCGUCGUGAAGAGGGAAACAACCCAGACCGCCAGCUAAGGUCCCAAAGUCAUGGUUAAGUGGGAAACGAUGUGGGAAGGCCCAGACAGCCAGGAUGUUGGCUUAGAAGCAGCCAUCAUUUAAAGAAAGCGUAAUAGCUCACUGGUCGAGUCGGCCUGCGCGGAAGAUGUAACGGGGCUAAACCAUGCACCGAAGCUGCGGCAGCGACACUAUGUGUUGUUGGGUAGGGGAGCG
rnacentral:rRNA from 1 species